UACGUAGGGUGCAAGGCGUUAAUCGGAAUUACUGGGCGUAAAGCGUGCGCAGGCGGUUGUGCAAGACAGAUGUGAAAAUCCCGGGCUCAACCUGGGAAUUGCAUUUGAGACUGCAUAGCUAGGGUGCGGAAGAGGGAAGCGGAAUUUCCGGUGUAGCGGUGAAAUGCGUAGAUAUCGGAAGGAACACCAGUGGCGAAAGCGGCUUCCUGGUCCAGCACCGACGUUCAGGCACGAAAGCGUGGGGAGCAAACAGG
rnacentral:rRNA from 1 species